GCAAGUCUUUAAUCAGGUCCUGAGUGUGGAAGUACAUUCAGAAUAACAUUUAGCAAUCGCUAUAUUCCAAAGUGUUUUCCAAGGGAGCAAGAGAAAUAUUAACACACACAAUCACAAUUGGAGUCAAGAUGGUGCUUAGGUUUACAAUCUGCUGUGGAAAAAUUAAAUAAAAACUUAAAUAAAGGAAUGCUAUAAAUCCCUUUGAUAUAAUACCCUUCCGUCUUACUAGCAACAGAAGCACCUGUCGUCUGUGU